ACCGAAUACAUUAGCAUGGGAUAAUGGAAUAGGACCCUGUCCUUCAUGUUUCGCGUUGGUUGGAGGACCAGGGUAAUGAUUAAUAGGGAUAGUUGGGGGCAUUAAUAUUUAAUUGUCAGAGGUGAAAUUCUUGGAUUUAUGAAAGAUUAACUUCUGCGAAAGCAUCUGCCAAGGAUGUUUUCAUUAAUCAAGAACGAAAGUUAGGGGAUCGAAGACGAUUAGAUACCGUCGUAGUCUUAACCAUAAACCAUGCCGACCAGCGAUUGGGAGACGUU
rnacentral:rRNA from 1 species